CGUAGGUGCGAGCGUUGUCCGGAAUUACUGGGCGUAAAGAGCUCGUAGGUGGUUGUCGCGUCGUGUGUGAAAUUCCGGGCCUAACUUCGGGUUGCAUACGAUACGGGCAUAACUUGAGUGCUGUAGGGAGACUGGAAUUCCUGGUGUAGCGGUGAAAUGCGCAGAUAUCAGGAGGAACACCGAUGGCGAAGGCAGGUCUCUGGGCAGUAACUGACGCUGAGGAGCGAAAGCAUGGGAGCGAACAGGAUU
rnacentral:rRNA from 1 species